UCUCUGUAGUACGUGUGGCUAUUGCGUACAAGAUGCAGAUGGUCACCCAAAGAUGACUUUAAAAGAAAGAGCUCGUUUGCUACGUAUACAUUUGUUCUGGACCAGAAAUGUUGGUUACCCACAGUCUGCCUCUUCUUCUCUGAAGGAGCUCUGACUGCAUUUCUGCUUUAUUGGAUCUGUUCAUUUCAAGUCAAGCUGUACGAAAGCGAAACCAACCUGUAAGGUACUCUUGUAAUGCUGUUUUUGUUCCUGUUUUUUGGCUUGAGUUAUUUGUUUUAUUUACAGUUCACAGCACUAAAACUUUAGCAGGAAAGUAUAUUGGAAUAGUAGGGAGGUAAGAAGUCAAAAGGUAAAUGCUUUUUUUUCUGUUCUGUAGAAAAAUUUUUUCA
rnacentral:lncRNA from 1 species